rnacentral:rRNA from 1 species
AAUAUUGGACAAUGGGGGCAACAUUGAUCCAGUCAUGCCGCGUGUGUGAAGAAGGUCUUCGGAUAGUAAAGCACUUUACGUUGGGAGGAAAGGCUUUAGGCUAAUCGACUGACGAUUUGACGUUACCAACAGAAUAAGCAUCGGCUAACUCUGUGCCUGCAGCCGCGGUAAUACAGAGGGUGCAAGCGUUAAUCGGAAUUACUGGGAGUAAAGCGCGCGUAGUUUGUUCAGUAAGAUGUGUGUGAAAUCCCCGGGCUUAACCUGGGAACUGCUUUCAUAACUGCUGAGCUAGAGUACGGUAGAGGGUAGUGGAAGUUCCUGUGUAGCGGUGAAAUGCGUAGAUAUAGGAAGGAACGCCAGUGGCGAAGGCGACUACCUGGACUGAUACUGACACUGAGGUGCGAAAGCGUGGAGAGCAAACA